UCUGAGGGAUACUUAUACCCAUAUCCACUUGGAACAUCUCUCGACAGUAGAGUGUUCCGAAAUUGGUCACGUUCAGUGAAAUGUACUUCUACACUUCACCUGUGCGACAUAUCAGUGUCUCCACACUCCUUGGUUAAGAGGACAACCAACGUAUUGUCAGAAAUUAUAUCCUAAAUAUCAAUCGUCAGCAUGUUGAUGAUUAAAUUUUGUAAAUGAAUUGACAAAUUAAUAAAGCGUUAUUUGGCAUUAUUCAUCAUUUCAUUGUACAUCUUCAAAUGAACUCUUAUAUGAUGAAGUCCUUAGAACUUGUUUUAUGAUAAAGGAGGAUUUAUCUUCAAGUUCUUAAAACUGUUCGCGAACAAAUGAUAUGCUGUUACUAGGACGACAGCAUUAUCGAGAUUAGGUCGUUGUGUGACAUAUACAUUGGUUGUCCUCUUAACCAAUGAGUGUGGAGACACUGAUAUGUCACACAGGUGAAGUUUAGGAGUACAUUUCACUGAACAUGACUAAUUUCGGAACGCUCUACUGUCAAGAUAUGUUUCGACUGGAUAUGGGUAUAAGU
rnacentral:lncRNA from 1 species